rnacentral:lncRNA from 1 species
AUGAUGCAUAAGAAUGCCUUGGCUGAUAUUCUGGAGAGUGUCAAAACUGCUGAAAAAAAAGAGGCAGAUGCCAGCUCCAUGCUCCUGUCAUUGCUGUGAUGAUGUAGCAUGUUCCAUUGAUGAAUUUAAGUUCAUCAGUGAUCACAGAGCUGGGAAAAUUCGUGUAAAUCUCAUAGGCAGGCUAAACAACUGUGGAAUGGUCAGCACUAGAUUUGAGGUGCAGCUCAAAGACCUAGAAAAACCAGUAAAUAAUCUGCUCUGUCUCAGCAACUUGGUUUCACUGUACUAACAACCUCAGUUAGCAUCGUGGAC